CCUUCACUACCCUGUGAAAGUCACACGUGAGAAGAAGCAUCACAGAUGAUUCCAUGGAGAACAUCCUGGAAGUUCUCCAAAUGUUUGGGCCGAAAAACCUGCUAGCUCCAAGUAUAAAUCUAACUUUCUUAUUUCAGGGCUUUUGGCUCAAUUCUGAAUAAACAGUGCACAUCCAUGUGGGAGCAAUGAGGAGGAACUGUAGCAUCUAACUGCAAAUUCCCUGUCUCCCCUUAACCAGCACUGGAAGCAGAUGGGAAGAGAAUAGCUGUGACUGACUCACACUCUAACCCAGCAACCCUCAGCAUACAAAUGGGAGACCAUAAAGUUUUUCAAGACCCCAAAAGAGGCCAAAGGUCUGAUAAUUGCUGGGAGAAGGUCCACUAUCCAAGAAGAGAAGAGGAAAAGGAAUUAAAGUCUCCAAGGACUGGGGAUGCAAGAAGAGAGUUGCACAGGAGAGAAAGAAGAAGUUGUCCACGGGGUGACCCUGCCAUUGGAGGGAAAUGCGUGUGGAUAUGUGCAGGGAGUCUAGGAAGUGAAGCCUUAGUGAUCAUUUACAAGAAUGAGGGUUAGGUAAAAUAAGGGAUGCAAAGCCACCUGUAGUCUAUUCUAACCUCACUCCAUCACUCUAUACAAUCUGUGUUUUAUCAUCUGAAAUGUUAAGUAAAGACCUGUUUGGGUCUUCUUCGGAAUCCCAUACAUUUGAGUUCAUUAGUCAGAAAAAGGGAAAACACCACCACCCCAUCCUGGAAUGGCAGUCAUGUACACUUUUAUAAUGAGAGAUUGGGCAGCAAAGGGGGCCCCUUGUGGACCUCACCCAGGCAGAGAAGGAGGCAGAAUGUUUCCUUCACUAUCUUUUCCUCUCCCCAGAGGAACACUACAUAUUGUUCCCUCCAUGGUCUUAAGAGAAGGUGCUGGGGUUACAGAUAGAUAUAUCGCUGGCUGUGGAGCACAGGGUGAAUUGGGAUGUCCAUGUACAAAACUAGGGACAGGAGAAUCAGUUUAAAGACUUUAAAAAUAAUUAGGAAAAAAAGGAAGGCCUGACCCAAAGCUUAGGAGUGCAGGUAGAGAAGAGAUGAUGCCAUGAUAUACCAUGUCUCUGGGGCUUUUCUGUAUUCCUCUUCCUCUGUAUACUGUAUUGCCCUCAUUCCCUAUUUAUUCAAAAUCUGUGCUACCUCCACUGCGAAGACUUCCACGAGAAAAUUCAGAUAUUUCUUCUUUUGUGGACACUUUCUACCUUACAAAUAAGUUAAUUUUAAUUCAAGGAAGAGUUUUUCC
rnacentral:lncRNA from 1 species